CUUGGACUAACCCAGAACACAGGAAUGCCACCAAGAUGGUGAAGUCAUCCCAGGUGUGGAAAAUCCAGCUGCUCCUUGCUGUUAGGUCUGAGACUCACAUGCCUGGACUGAGGUUUAGGUGCAGAAGCAGUGUCAUCGCCCUGUUUUCUUCCUCUGGGAAGAACUCUUAUAAAUGGAGUUAAGUCUGCAAGGUAAUUCAGACCCAAGUUUCUUCCGUGGAAACUACUGAGGCGGCUUGCUAAUAUUUUUUCCUUCUGCAAAUGUGUUUUUGAAGUGUGGUUGUCCUGUCGUUUAUAGAAACGUAUUGCAACUAUUAAUGCCCUGCAGUCAACCAGAAAGCCUGCAGAGCACACAGAAAGGUAUGAGUUGAGGGUGAAAGAAACAUCUCUUCAAAUGAAGCAAGACCCCUUUUCUGAAGGGGUGAGUAGUAUGAUGUGGAGUCUAAGGGCAUUACUAACUGCAGAAAUAAUCCAGUCAGCCUUGAGGUGAGAUGCUGUUAGUAAUAUCAGUCUCCUGAGGUACCCAUUCC
rnacentral:lncRNA from 1 species